GGUUGGAGGCGGGAAGAGGUGGGGGGGGGGGGGGUGGCGACGGCGAUGAUGGCGGCGGCGGCCGAGCUGGAGUCGUCGCUGGAGCUGAGCCUGCCGGGCAGCGGCAGCCUGCCCCCGGCGCGCUCCCGCAUCUUCAAGAUCAUCGUCAUCGGCGACUCCAACGUGGGCAAGACGUGCCUCACCUACCGCUUCUGCGCCGGCCGCUUCCCGCAGCGCACCGAGGCCACCAUCGGCGUGGACUUCCGCGAGCGGGCCGUCACCAUCGACGGCGAGCGCAUCAAGAUCCAGCUAUGGGAUACGGCAGGCCAGGAGCGCUUCAGAAAGAGUAUGGUGCAGCACUAUUACAGGAACGUACACGCUGUCGUGUUUGUGUAUGAUAUGACAAACAUUGCCAGUUUUCACAGUCUGCCAUCAUGGAUAGAGGAAUGCAAACAACACCUCCUUGCCAACGAUAUACCACGGAUUCUUGUUGGAAAUAAAUGUGACCUGAGAAGUGCUAUUCAGGUACCUACGGACUUGGCCCAGAAGUUUGCUGAUACUCACAGUAUGCCGUUAUUUGAAACCUCUGCCAAAAACCCCAAUGACAAUGACCAUGUGGAGGCCAUAUUUAUGACGCUGGCUCACAAGCUUAAAAGUCACAAGCCAUUAAUGCUUAGUCAACCCCCAGAUCGCGAUCAAAUACAUAUAAAGCCUGAACCAAAACCUGCCAUGACCUGCUGGUGUUAAAUCUCACUAUUUAUUAGCUAUCACCUUGUCUUGUUUGCAAAUGCUCCAAAAUUAUGAUCUUGGCACAGAUCCAGGGUUUGGUAGCAAUUAUAGGAAAUCUUUUUGGCACUUUACUGUGUUUUUUUUUUUUUCUGGUGUAGAUGUGCCCGUCUCAUUUUCUUGCACUUUGUAAUUGUACUUUCUGAAUUACUGAAGUUUCACUAUAAAUAUACAGGAAUGUAAACUUUCAAGUGAAGUAUUGACAAAGCAAUUCUUCUUGAGCUCUUGCUGCCUGAGAUCGUUUUUGUCACUUGUGGUAAAGUUAUAUAUAGUAAGACAGUUUACUAACACUUCUGGUUGCUACUUGCAUUGGGAUAAUGUAGGAGGAAAAGUGUUUUGGGACAGCCGGAUAGCUUGAUUUUUCAGGUCAGUGAGUGGGGAGAUUUUUAAUGUCUGAAGGAAUAUUUGAUGACUGCUAGCAAGCUGUUAAGCAAGUACCUACUUAUAUAAAAAAACAAACAAGCAACAGGACUGUCAGAUAAAGUCUGGGCUUCAGUGUAAGUGCAAACUGCUGGCUUUCAUGGCAUGCCAUUCCAUUGUAAACUUUGUCCGUUUCUUCAUGGCAGUGGUAAGAGAAUCGACAAACUUGUCCCUACCUCUAGACAAUUAAUACUUAGAAGUUCAUUAAUUUUUCAUAAUUAACUUGUAAGACUAAACUAUGCAUUCCUUCAUAUGAAAAGUCCUUUAGCACAGGAUAUGGGGGAAAAUCUGGGACUAGAACUACCCACAGCCUCUCUGGCCUUACCAAAACUUCAAUAUUCAUUGAGGACUGACCUCUAAGGAUGCUGUAUUUGAGUUGUGUCCCAGUGUAAGUGAAAAAAUGGAGUGAGGUUGCCAAAAGCGUAACGUUUUUCAAAGAUACAUGUUUCAGAGGAUGCUAGUGUUGAUGUUUUUCAAAUAUCUCGAAAAAAACAACUUUUUACAAACCAACUCGAUAACAUAUUUUAAGGAUGAAAAUGCUUAGGACAGAAUGUUACUUCUCAUGCCCGUUUUGACGUACAAAGUUGUGCCUUAUUUAUUGAAAAUGUCAAGGCCACCAUAGUCUAAUGAUCUGUAUUGUUUUGUGCUAGAAUAUGUGAAGGCUUCUGUGCAAAGGAACUACCAGCUUCCGUAACUGAAGGUCGAUUUGCUUGCAUAAUGAAAACAACCCAGAAUUGAUGUAAUCUGACUGAGGUACAGUGACAAUCGUUGACCAGAGACGUGGGCUGUUGCAACUCGGAGCUUGACAGCAAGAAUGUCGUCUACAGUCUUAGGGUUGACAGAAAAAAGGAAGCGAUGAAUCAAGGAGAUUCAUGCAAGAAACCGCUGCAACAGAGCCACUGAGACCAAGCGAAGGCUUUGGUGCUCUGUGGUAGAACUGAGAGGUGCAGCGCUGUGACUUCUGUCCUUUGGCUUCUCACUGGUUUUUGCCAGCCAAAUGGAAACAUCUUUGUGUCCAGCCGUGGUGACUCCUUUCCACUGCCGUGACCCUGAACUCUGGCAGCUGUCACCCUACGCCUCGCGGCAGGGGGGAGGCGGUGCACCGAUGAUGUGGCUGGAGCUGGCAAACCAUGAGCCUCAACCUGUACAUUGCCAGCAAACUGUGCCCUGGGGUGUUCCACGUCGGUCUGAAACCUUUGGCUCUGUUUCUGCCUGAAAAUUUGUGUUAUUAAGUAAGGUCAGGAAAAAAAAGUACAUCAUCACGACUGUCAGACAGCACCAUGUAAGCACUGGACUACAAGAUUGGAAGUGAAGUUGCAAAAAAAAAACAAAACCCCAAAGCCACCAAGAAGCUAGUUGUCAGAAAUGUGCCCGAAACUGUUCUCUCAUCCCCAUGUUUCUGGGCAGGAAAUGGCUUCAGCAAAUACUUUGCUCUUAGUUGAACGUUAACUCGCAGGAACAGCUCCCCUGAUUAACCUGCUGAUUACACCUUCUGAUUAGCAAUGGCGUGCUAGUGACGAUGCUGGCAUCCUUCAGUUGCGUAGCGUGGGCAUUCCGCAGGCUUGUGCUGUGUGUUGGGGAGGGAGGAAGCAUUUUGCUAAGCUUACCCAAGGUGGAAAAGCAUUUUUGGACUUAAAAGUCCUAUCUUUGACUAGUACAAACAAUGGUACGUGAGGUGAGCAUGAAAUGCUUGGCGUCUGUAUGAUUUUGAUGUGCAGGAUGUAUAGCCAGGGGUAGUAAAGCCUUUCGAAGGAGCUUUCUAACAUGCCCUAGAAAAGAGCUGGAUGUCUGGACUCAGAGAGAUGUGAAGCACAUUUGCAUGUACCGUUCUUCUUCAAAAUGCCUUUAGUUACACUUCCCAGCGGUGGAAGCACAAGGUGCUUGCGAACAACAUGCAGCACCUGUGUGUGCAGGGUGUUUGAGGGCAGAACAGGCUGAGAGCUUAGCUGGGGGCUGGACGCGUCCUUUUUUUCCCCAGGCUUUGCCCCCGUUGUCCUGCCGGCGCUGUGCUGCGGUGCACUGGCCGUCAGCGCCACGGCUGGAUGCCAGGUUGCAUCCUGGCGUGUAUCACGCUUCCCUGCCCUCCCCACAGCAAAAAGGGCAACCUUUCGGGGCUGGGAGGCAGCAGGGCAGUGGCCCCAGCUACUAGCAGCUUGCCAAGGGGAAAAAGCCCGUGGGGCAUAAUUGCCUCGAAGCCUUUCUGCUGGAGGUGUUGCGGAUGUGUUUGUGUGAGACAAACUCCAUCUGACUUCCAUCCGAGAAAGCUGGGGGUGAGGCAGUGCACGAAAUGUCCCUGGAGAUCCUGCCAGGCUCUCAGGGGGGAACCGUAACUCGCAUGUCGAACACGCUACUAAAUAUAGCACUGGGAUCUGCAACGACGAAUAAAUAUAUUUUCUGCAAUGCUAACCAACUAGAGGGAGUGACAUUAAAUUGGUGUACAGUUUGCACCGGUUUCCACAGUGCAGCCGUUUCUUUUCUAGAAGCUCUCCUUCCGUACAAGAAUCGUUGGCUUUGUGUAGCUAUCACGGCUCCUAGGUGCCUUCAUGGUGACAGCAGUGCUCCACUACACCGUUGAAAGAUCAGCAAAACCCAUUUGAAAAAGAAAUAUACAGGCAUCGAGGGCUUUAUAGGUGCUGCUGCAUGAAUUGCAAACAUUUAAUUUAGAAGUAGGACAGACAUACUGCUCUUUUACACACCCAGCCUCCAGUAUACGCUGAGCGGGCUGUUUCGAAGCCAAAGCAGCACCUCCUGCAAGGGCAGGGCUCUGCGGGGGGCAUCCUGCCACUAAAUGCCACCGCUCGGCUGCUUCCCGAGCAGUGCAGGAGGAGCAGCCAGCUCCUCGGUGCGUGUACCAGCAACGUGCCAGCAGAACCUGACUCGCCCCGGCCUUGCUCGCAUCCUCCCCGCAGGCCCGGUGCUGCUUUCAUAACCUCCUCGCUUCAGGAGUUAACCGCUCGGAGCCGGUGAAAACAUUUCUGGAUUACAGCAAGGACUGCUGAAGUUUAUUCUUUGCAUGCUUGUCAUAAAAAUCUAAUUAAUUUCUCUGUUCAUCCAGACGCUGAACACCGGUGACUCACACCAGGCAUGCAGCACCUCCUAACCUAAGGCGCAGUCACAGACCAGUACCCCGGAUGGGGCUGCAACUUCCACCCAGCAACGAUGCGGUGGCUGAGCAGUGCCUUUCAGCAACAAAAUACUUCCAGCAAGUUACUCCUUCAGAGGCAAAAAUCUCUUUCAAACAAAAAGAGAAUCAAAGCCAAACAGUUUUCAGGUGUUAAGAAUCACAAAAACCUCUCAGAGAGCCUCACUUUUUUUUUUAAUGGAUGAGAGCAGCAGUUUAUGUUAAUCAAGGUGGGGAAAAAUCAUCACAGGCUGUUUGGAGCUAUGCCAGAAGCAGCUGGGGAUGGGAAGAGUCACGCUCAGUGCUUUGAUGCUUGCUGACAGGCACUGCACCACAGAAUAAGGCACAGCAUCGCUUUUUGCCUCAUGUUACCAAUUACCAUAUUAAAGGCAAAUAAACUUGCCUA